rnacentral:misc_RNA from 1 species
GAUGAAGAACGUAGCGAAAUGCGAUACUUGGUGUGAAUUGCAGAAUCCCGUGAACCAUCGAGUCUUUGAACGCAAGUUGCGCCCGAAGCCAUUAGGCCGAGGGCACGCCUGCCGGGGCGUCACACGUCGUUGCCCCCCCAUCUACUCCUUCGGGAUUGCGGGGGGCGGAUGAUGGCCUCUCGUGCGCCUCGUCGCGCGGUUGGCCUAAAUGCCAAGUCCUCGGCGACGCACGCCACGACAAUCGGUGGUUGCGAAACCUCGGUUGCCUGUCGUGUGCGGUCGUCGCGCAUCGAGGGCUCGAAAAAAUUGCCGGGCUUCGGCUCGACUUUCAACGCGACCCCAGGUCAGGCGGGGUUACCCGCUGAAUUUAAGCAUAUCAAUAAGCGGAGGA